rnacentral:tRNA from 1 species
GGGCGCGUAGCUCAGCGGUAGAGCACCACGUUCACACCGUGGGGGUCCGUGGUUCGAUCCCACGCGCGCCCACCA